rnacentral:rRNA from 1 species
UACGGAGGGAGCUAGCGUUGUUCGGAAUUACUGGGCGUAAAGCGCACGUAGGCGGCUUUUUAAGUCAGGGGUGAAAUCCCGGGGCUCAACCCCGGAACUGCCCUUGAAACUGGAGAGCUAGAAUCUUGGAGAGGCGGGUGGAAUUCCGAGUGUAGAGGUGAAAUUCGUAGAUAUUCGGAAGAACACCAGUGGCGAAGGCGACUCGCUGGACAAGUAUUGACGCUGAGGUGCGAAAGCGUGGGGAGCAAACAGG